GAAUUCGGCAAUCGCAGUAAUUUUGCCGCGCGCCUUCUUGAGAUAUUCUGCCUGGAUAUCGAGCACGAUACCGCGCAUGUCUGUCGAUAGUGUUGACAAUACGGCGAGACCCGUCGCCAGUUCCCCGAGAUUGAUCAGCGCGAUCGCAUGCAUUGAGCGCAGAUGAUUGCGCAGCCGGCGCCUGUCCUUGAUGCUCGCUCGCGCAUAACCCGGAGCAAGUUCUUCGACACGGGCGCCAAUGCUACCGCUGUAUGGCGCGAGCCAUCCCAGACCGAGACUAAAUAUCAGGCGCCCUGCUGGCAGCGGUUCAAGGCGUGACCACCAGGUCAAAAUCGAGCCCUGUGCCUGACUCCUGCGAGGAUUUUUUUUGAUCUGUAUCAUCCAAUCUGCAGGCAGGCUUGUGCGGCCGCGUAUUAUGCGCUAUUAAUGAUUCCAUGGAAA
rnacentral:rRNA from 1 species